rnacentral:rRNA from 1 species
GGAAUAUUGGACAAUGGGCGAAAGCCUGAUCCAGCAAUGCCGCGUGUGUGAAGAAGGCCUUCGGGUUGUAAAGCACUUUCAGUAGGGAAGAAAAGCUUGGUGCCAAUACCACCGAGUCUUGACGUCACCUACAGAAGAAGCACCGGCUAACUCUGUGCCAGCAGCCGCGGUAAUACAGAGGGUGCGGGCGUUAAUCGGAAUUACUGGGCGUAAAGGGCGCGUAGGUGGCCUGGUAAGUCGGAUGUGAAAGCCCUGGGCUCAACCUGGGAAUUGCAUUCGAUACUGCACGGCUCGAGUAUGGUAGAGGGAAGCGGAAUUCCGGGUGUAGCGGUGAAAUGCGUAGAUAUCCGGAGGAACACCAGUGGCGAAGGCGGCUUCCUGGACCAAUACCGACACUGAGGCGCGAAAGCGUGGGGAGCA